UACGGUAGUUAACGGGCCGCCUUGACGUAGUAAUACUUGCCAUGAGAAGACGGGGAGAUGUGAGUGGGUGAUUAAAAUGGGUUCUACUCUGAAUCUUGUGGUUCAGGAGGCUGUGCAGACACAGGGGAAGAAUAUUCCAGAUGCCAAGAGGAGCAGGCAGAUUGGAGCCCCCUACUGAGGCGGCAAGGUGCUGCCUCCCUCUCUUCUCUUGCCGUCUGGCUCAUCCGGCGACACCAGAUGAUGCCUCCACAGCGGACGCUUGGGCAUUCGCCGCGGUCCUGGCCCCUGCCUCUGCCUUCACUUCCGUCUGUGCCCCCCACGCUCACUGAACUGGACCCCUCGCGUGGGGAGCUCAGGCACCUCCAUCCCCACAGCUCCCCGUGUGAGCGCCGGGCACCGAGGGGCGGAGGGAGCUAACCCAUGACCACCCUGUGUGCCGUCCUCCAAGAAAGAAGAGCCCCGAUUGCAAAGAACGCAGGAGGAGCCCCUGAGGCCCCGCCCACCCCUGUUGUGGUGCUUUCUCCUGCUGGGGGUUCCCCAAAAACCUGUCAAGUGUAAAGGAGCCUUGCACAGAGAAGUCCACAGGCCUGAUGACUCCUCACACGUGUCACCCAGGUCCCCACACUGACGACGGGCACCCUGUCCCGGCAGAGCCUCGGAGCACCAGGCAGGGGGACUCAUGCUCCGUGGGACACUCGGCAGCGGCCCUGUGGUCUCCGCGGCCGGGAGAAGACAGACACGCCCUGGGGCCGCAGCCCUCCUCUCCCUCUCUCCGCCACACACAUUCAUUUUGCUCAGGGCAGCCUGUCCCUGCCCUCCAGAGUGGACAUUCUUGCGGGGGGCUGGCCACAUAGGGGUCAGUGAACAGGUGUAACCCCAGGUGUGCUGAGUACCACCCAAGAAAACAGGCCCAGGGAAGAGGAGGCAGGGACCUGGGCCCGCCGGGGUUUGGGGGCUCAGGCCUGGGCGGGUGGAGGAGCCCCUCUGCAGGACAGUGGGUGUGGGCAGCGCCCCGGCCCCACCUCCUUCCACCUGCAGAACAUCUUCACCCCCGGUGAGUCCAGGGUUCCUCCUGGGGCUGGGUACCCAAGGGUGGGGGCCAGGCUCCUGGCUGCCUCCACUUCCCGGUGACGACAAGCCUGACGCCUGUUACUGGACAGAAGGGCCAGCUUCUCAAGCCUCCCCCCACCCCAGCCCCGUCUUAAGUCCCUAUCCUGCUCUACAAAGUAAAUACGCUUUGGAUAGA